AAUUACUCAGUUUUCUGCAUGACUGGCUAUUCAACUUUUCCAUUGUAUAAUAAUUUGUUUGUAAGCAUCCACAGAAGAAAGUAUAGAUAACAAUUUCUAUUUAGACAUGAACAUGCUAAUAAUUAUUUGGACUUCCAAAUAAUCAACUGGACUUCCUGAAAACUAACCAGUCAACAUUUGUCUUUUUGGCCAACACCAGAGAACCACCAGUCCAUCAGUCCUUGCUGGUUUCACCCCCUCAAAUCUGUGACAAAAUAAUAUCCUUUCCCAUUCAAGAAAGAAAGGUGGUGCUGGGAGAAAAAAUUGAUAGCAUUUCCCUGGAUUUCUGUGUUUAUCUUGCUACAGUCCAACUCACAUUUUGGCUUUGUCUGUUGCCUGAGAGGCACUGCUUGACUAAGAAUGACGGAUGUCGCUAUUUCCACAUCUAAGGAAAAAAAACACCCUCCAAGAUUCAAUCUCAAGAUUGUCAUGAUGAGAGAAGAUGAAUUUCCUGCCUCCACCUCAUCACAAUUUGCAGUACCAAAAUGAAUCAAUUUCAUACCAUGUGGUAUUUUUGUUGCAGGCCUUUGCCACAGAUCACAUCUCAAGUAAAAUAAUAAUAUAUUGUAUCAGAUGUCUUGCUAAGGCUACAAAGAAAAACAUGGUGCAGUACAGCAUAUUUACAUUAAUAUGGCAAAAAUUCUCUCUCCCUCUCUCUCUCCCUCUCCCUCUCUCUCUUUCUCCCUCCCUCUCUCUCCCUCCCUCCCUCUCUCUCUCUCUCUGAGCUGCAAUCAUUCUAAUUAGUUUGCAAAAAAAAUUUUGUUUUUACAUAUACUGGAUCAAAAUAUCUUUGUUUAAUCAAUACAAAUCAAAACCACUACAAAUGAAAAUGUUUAUUUUGUUUAGUUUUAUUCUAGAAUAGACAACAUGAUUUUUAAAUUACAACAGUCAUCAAUUUGCUCUACUGUCUGAUAUUGAAAAAAAUCUACCUGUAGCUCAAGUUUUUGUGAAGAUCCAAAUUGCUGCAAGAGUGUGAAAAAUGUGACAGACUACAUAGCGAUUUAAAUUACAGGUAGUCCUCCACUUACAACAGUUCAGUUAGUGACUGUUCAAAGUUACAACUGAAAAAUUGACUUAUGAAUGUUUUUCACACUUAUAACUGUUGUAGCAUCCCCAUGGUCAUGGGAUCAAAAUUUGAAUGCUUGGCAACAGGUUCAUAUUUCUGACAGUUGCCAUGUCCUGGAGUCAUGUGAUCAGCUUUUGCAAACUUAUGACAAGCAAAGUCAAUGGGGAAAGUCAGAUUCACUUAACAACCGUGCUACUAAUUCAACAACUGCAAUGAUUCACUUAACAACUGUAGCAAGAAACUGUUAAAUGGGGCAAAACUCGUGUAACAAAUGUCUCACAUUGCAAUGUAAAUUUUAGGCUCAGUUGUGGUUAUAGGUUGAGGAUUACCUGUAUGCGCUGAAAACAGUUUCCAUCUUUCUCCUAAAUGACAUGGUAAGCAGGAAAUAAGACUCCUGUCUGUUUUAGUAACUUAGUGUUUUUGUGUUUCAAUCUGCCUCAUAGUAAAUGAUAGAUUUGUACCUUUAAGAGAAAAAUCUAUUGGUUAACAUAUUGUGCCUAUGGUUUUGGCCAUAUGUAUUUUUCGAUAUAUGAAGUUCAGGUAAGAGGAGUUUAUUAGUGACUUUAAAGCAGCCAUCUUUGAGGUUUAUCAUUGACUUCUAACUUUGGACAGGGGCAAAAUGUAGAAUGGUCUGAUUGACUAGGGGAGACAUGAUAGCAGUGUUCCAAUAUCUCAGGGGCUGCCAUAAAGAAGAGGGAGUCAAGCUAUUCUCCAAAGCACCUG